ensembl:lncRNA VNN3P vanin 3, pseudogene
UUUUUCCAGUGAAACAAAACGUAAGAAUCUGAGUUUGUUUUUCAAAGAUCACUAAAUUUUAGUUAUGAUUAUAUCACAUUUUCCAAAAUGUGUGGCAGUUUUUGCCCUCCUUGCUCUGAGUGUUGGUGCACUGGACACUUUUAUUGCUGCAGUAUAUGAGCAUGCGGUGAUAUUACCAAACAGAACAGAAACACCUGUUUCAAAAGAAGAAGCUUUGCUCCUGAUGAACAAGAACAUAGAUGUUUUGGAGAAAGCAGUUAAGCUGGCAGCGAAGCAGGGUGCACAUAUCAUUGUGACCCCAGAAGAUGGAAUCUAUGGUUGGAUCUUCACCAGGGAGAGCAUUUACCCCUAUCUAGAGGAUAUACCAGACCCUGGAGUGAACUGGAUUCCAUGUAGAGACCCCUGGAGUACAAUCUUUUUGCACCUGAAAUUCAGUUUGAUUUCCCCAAGGAUUCAGAACUUGUGACUUUUGACACUCCCUUUGGGAAGUUUGGCAUUUUUACUUGCUUUGACAUUUUUUCUCAUGACCCAGCUGUGGUGGUGGUGGAUGAGUUUCAAUUGACAGCAUUCUCUACCCCACAGCAUGGUACAACACGCUGCCCCUCCUCUCGGCUGUUCCCUUCCAUUCAGCAUGGGCCAAGGCCAUGGGAGUCAAUCUACUUGCUGCAAAUACCCACAACACCAGCAUGCACAUGACAGGGAGUGGAAUCUACGCCCCAGAAGCAGUCAAGGUGUACCACUAUGACAUGGAAACAGAGAGUGGUCAGCUGUUGCUAUCAGAACUGAAGUCUCGGCCCCGCCGUGAGCCCACCUACCCUGCAGCUGUUGACUGGCAUGCGUAUGCCAGCAGUGUCAAGCCAUUUUCCUCUGAACAGUCAGAUUUUCUGGGGAUGAUUUAUUUUGAUGAGUUUACCUUCACCAAGCUUAAGAGAAAUACAGGAAAUUACACAGCUUGCCAGAAAGAUCUGUGUUGUCACUUAACUUACAAGAUGUCUGAGAAGCGAACAGACGAGAUCUAUGCCCUAGGUGCUUUUGAUGGACUGCACACAGUAGAAGGCCAAUAUUACUUACAGAUAUGUGCAUUACUGAAGUGUCAAACCACUGACCUGGAAACGUGUGGAGAACCUGUGGGGUCAGCUUUUACCAAGUUUGAAGACUUCUCCCUCAGUGGCACAUUUGGAACGCGUUAUGUUUUCCCACAGAUCAUUCUAAGUGGGAGUCAGCUUGCCCCUGAAAGACAUUAUGAGAUUUCAAGAGAUGGACGCUUGAGGAGCCGAAGUGGAGCCCCUUUGCCUGUCUUAGUUAUGGCCCUGUAUGGAAGAGUGUUUGAGAAGGACCCUCCACGCUUAGGGCAGGGAUCUGGGAAAUUCCAGUGAUCUCCUUUAGCAGAGCCCUUUUAGGAUUAGCCUGGCUAAGAAAGGAAGAAAAAAAAGAGAUCCGUUAGUGUCUGUUUAGAAAAGAUGUUAUAAACUUACAGAAACAAAUAUAAUAAACUGAAGCAGAUUUGAAAAGCAA